rnacentral:lncRNA from 1 species
UCUUUCAAACAAUAUAUUUUAUUUUGUAAACUCAUCUAUAUUAUAUGUAUUUAAAUUUAAAUCAUAUAAUAUCAAGACAAAACAAGUACAUUCUGUAAAUAUUAUUGACAUCUAAGGGACAAUACCCCGUUAUUCUGCACAACACAUAAUAGUAUACUAGUUAUGUCGCCUUUUCUAUUAAACUCCAUUUAGAUCGUACGCAUUAAUACUAUAAAAUGCCUUCAAAAUUUGAAAUAAGAAGAAGAUUAGACAAAGUUAAUGAUGAAAUUGAAAUUUCGAUUGAGUGUUUAAUGUCAAUCCCAUGUGGAAUAUUUAUAGACCAGGCAAUUUUAAAAAAAAUGCAAGAAAAUAUUCAAACAUUAAAUAUCGAAGAAGCAAUAAAUAACAGUGAACGGGGAUUGGAAUUUUUAAAGGAACUUAAAAAGUUUUUAAAACUUGAAAAAAGCAGACGAAAUUGGUCGCAACUAUAUGGGGAAAUCGAAAGAAAAAUGUUAUCUCAAGAAAGAAAAAGAAAACUUGAAGCGGAAGAAGAAGAAUCUCUUAAAAGAAAAAUAAAAAAUCCAUAUAAUUUGAGAAGUACCCCUCCACAAAGUCUUGAGUAAAAAAGAAGAGUAGAAAUACAGUAAUUUUGUUGUAAAAAAUAUACUAAUAAAACAGUAUAUAAAAUA